rnacentral:rRNA from 1 species
UACAGAGGGGGCAAGCGUUGUUCGGAAUUACUGGGCGUAAAGGGCGCGUAGGCGGCCUGCUAAGUCGAACGUGAAAUCCCUGGGCUCAACCCAGGAACUGCGUCCGAUACGGGUUGGCUUGAAUCCGGGAGAGGGACGUGGAAUUCCAGGUGUAGCGGUGAAAUGCGUAGAUAUCAGGAGGAACACCGGUGGCGAAGGCGGGUCUCUGGGCCGAUACUGACGCUGAGGAGCGAAAGCGUGGGGAGCGAACAGG